rnacentral:rRNA from 1 species
GAUGAACGCUGGCGGCGUGCCUAACACAUGCAAGUCGAACGAUGAAACCGCCCUCGGGCGGACAUGAAGUGGCGAACGGGUGAGUAACACGUGACCGACCUGCCCCCCGCCCAGGGACAGCCCCCCGAAAGGGGGAUUAAUACCUGGUACUCCGGAAGCGGCGCAUGCCGCCCCCGGCAAAGCGCUGGCUGCGGGGGAUGGGGUGGUGGCCCAUCAGGUAGACGGCGGGGCAGAGGCCCACCGUGCCGACGACGGGUAGCCGGGUUGAGAGACCGACCGGCCACAUUGGGACUGAGAUACGGCCCAGACUCCUACGGGAGGCAGCAGUGGGGAAUUUUGCGCAAUGGGGGCAACCCUGACGCAGCAACGCCGCGUGCGGGACGAAGGCGUCCGCGUCGUAAACCGCUUUCAGCGGGGAACACCUAACGAGGGUACCCGCAGAAGAAGCCCCGGCUAAAUACGUGCCAGCCGCCGCAGUAAGAC